GACGAACGCUGGCGGCGUGCUUAACACAUGCAAGUCGAACGGAAAGGCCCUGCUUUUGUGGGGUGCUCGAGUGGCGAACGGGUGAGUAACACGUGAGUAACCUGCCCUUGUCUUUGGGAUAACUUCAGGAAACUGGGGCUAAUACCGGAUAGGAGCUCCUGCUGCAUGGUGUUCGUUGGAUAGUUUCGGCGGUUGGGGAUGGACUCGCGGCUUAUCAGCUUGUUGGUGGGGUAUUGGCUUACCACGGCUUUGACGGGUAGCCGGCCUGAGAGGGUGACCGGAGACAGUGGGACUGAGAUAGGGCGCAGAAGGGAACGGGAGGCAGCAGAGGGAAAUAUUGCACAAGGGGCGGAAGGAUGAUGAAGAAAAGCCGCGUGCGGGAUGACGGCCUUCGGGUUGUAAACCGCUGUAGCCUGAGAAGAAGCGUGAGUGACGGUAAUGGGUAAAGAAGCAACGGCUAACUACGUG
rnacentral:rRNA from 1 species